rnacentral:rRNA from 1 species
AUACGGAGGAUCCGAGCGUUAUCCGGAUUUAUUGGGUUUAAAGGGAGCGUAGGCGGAGGAUCAAGUCAGCUGUGAAAUGUAGACGCUCAACGUCUGCACUGCAGUUGAAACUGGUCCCCUUGAGUGCGUAAGGGGCAGGCGGAAUUCGGCGUGUAGCGGUGAAAUGCUUAGAUAUGACGAAGAACUCCGAUCGCGAAGGCAUCUUGCCGGGCCGCAACUGACGCUGAAGCUCGAAGGUGCGGGUAUCGAACAGGAUUAGAUGCCCUGGUAGUCCGCACAGUAAACGAUGGAUACUCGCUGUCGGCGAUAUACGGUCGGUGGCCAAGCGAAAGCGUUAAGUAUCCCACCUGGGGAGUACGCCGGCAACGGUGAAACUCAAAUGAAUUGACGGG